UCGAACGGAUCAGUAGCAAUACUGGUUAGUGGCGAACGGUCGCGUAACACGUAGGCAACCUGCCCAAAAGUGGGGGACAACAGUUCGAAAGGACUGCUAAUACCGCAUAUUAUUGUUUAUCGGCAUCGAUUUACAAUCAAAGCAUUUAUGCGCUUUUGAAUGGGCUUGCGGCCUAUCAGGUAGUUGGUGGGGUAAUGGCCUACCAAGCCGACGACGGGUAGCUGGUCUGAGAGGACGAUCAGCCGGAUUGGGACUGAGAUACGGCCCAGACUCCUACGGGGGGCAGCAAUUAGGAAUCUUGCACAAUGGGGGAAACCCUGAUGCAGCGACGUCGCGUGAGGGAUGACGGCCUUCGGGUUGUAAACCUCUUUAGUGGGGGAAGAAGAAUGUGACGGUACCCCAAAAAUAAGCCCCGGCUAACUACGUGCCAGCAGCCGCG
rnacentral:rRNA from 1 species